ACUCCUACGGGAGGCAGCAGUGGGGAAUUUUCCGCAAUGGGCGCAAGCCUGACGGAGCAAGACCGCGUGAGGGAGGAAGGCUCUUGGGUUGUAAACCUCUUUUAUCAGGGAAGAAGAUCUGACGGUACCUGAUGAAUCAGCAUCGGCUAACUCCGUGCCAGCAGCCGCGGUAAUACGGAGGAUGCAAGCGUUAUCCGGAUUUAUUGGGCGUAAAGCGUCCGCAGGUGGUUUUUCAAGUCUGCUGUUAAAGCGCAGAGCUUAACUCUGUAACGGCGGUGGAAACUGAGAGACUAGAGUAUGGUAGGGGUUGCGGGAAUUCCCAGUGUAGCGGUGAAAUGCGUAGAUAUUGGGAAGAACACCAGCGGCGAAAGCGCGCAACUGGGCCAUUACUGACACUCAUGGACGAAAGCUAGGGGAGCGAAAGGGAUUAGAUACCCCUGUAGUCCUAGCUGUAAACGAUGGGUACUAGGUGUUGACCGUAUCGACCCGGUCAGUGCCGUAGCUAACGCGUUAAGUACCCCGCCUGGGGAGUA
rnacentral:rRNA from 1 species